rnacentral:rRNA from 1 species
GACGAACGCUGGCGGCGUGCUUAACACAUGCAAGUCGACCUGGUGGCGAACGGGUGAGUACUACGUAGUAACCUGCCCUCCUUUUUGGGAUAAGCCUUGGAAACGGGUUCUAAUACCCACUAUGUCAGGAUGGGCUCGCGGCCUAUCAGUUUGUUGGUGGGGUGAGGGUCUACCAAGGCGGUGACGGGUCGCCGGCCUGAGAGGGUGAUCAGUCACACUGGAACGGAGACACGGUCCAGACUCCUACGGGAGGCAGCAGUGGGGAAUAUUGGACAAUGGGCGAAAGCCUGAUCCAGCCAUGCCGCGUGUGUGAAGAAGGUCUUCGGAUUGUAAAGCACUUUAAGUGGGGAGGCGUUACCAACAGAAUAAGCACCGGCUAACUCCGUGCCAGCAGCCGCGGUAAUAC